UCUUAUGGUUAAACAAAGAAAGUGGUUUCUUGUGGUGGAAUCUAUUCCAGUUGAAGAUGCUGUCAA
rnacentral:pre_miRNA from 1 species